rnacentral:tRNA from 1 species
GCCGAUUUAGCUCAGUUGGUAGAGCUUCUGAUUUGUAAUCAGAGGGUCACAGGUUCAAGUCCUGUAGUCGGCA